rnacentral:rRNA from 1 species
UGGGGAAUCUUCCGCAAUGGGCGAAAGCCUGACGGAGCAACGCCGCGUGAGUGAAGAAGGCCUUCGGGUCGUAAAGCUCUGUCUUUAGGGAAGGAAAGCGAUUAUGUAAAUAAUGUAGUCGUGUGACGGUACCUAAGGAGGAAGCUCCGGCUAACUACGUGCCAGCAGCCGCGGUAAUACGUAGGGAGCAAGCGUUGUCCGGAAUUACUGGGCGUAAAGGGCGCGUAGGCGGGUAUUUAAGUCAGGUGUGAAAACUCCGAGCUCAACUUGGAGACUGCACUUGAAACUGGGUAUCUUGAGGGCAGGAGAGGAAAGUGGAAUUCCUAGUGUAGCGGUGAAAUGCGUAGAUAUUAGGAGGAACACCAGUGGCGAAGGCGACGUUCUGGACUGUACCUGACGCUGAGGCGCGAAAGCGUGGGGAGCGAACGG